rnacentral:rRNA from 2 species
UGGGGAAUAUUGUGCAAUGGGGGAAACCCUGACACAGCGACGCCGCGUGAGUGAAGAAGGCCUUCGGGUCGUAAAGCUCAAUAGUAUGGGAAGAAAGAAAUGACGGUACCAUACGAAAGCCCCGGCUAACUACGUG